AGAACAACAGAGGAGACUUAGCUGAUAGAAUCUCCUGAAUGUGUUCAAACAAAAUUUAGAAAGUACUUUUGAAGCUCUCUGUAUAUAAACAGGUAAAUUCUGAAACAAAACUCUAUAUCUAUGUAAAAUGGCUAUCAGUGUUAGGCAGCUUUAUUUCAAAAGCAUUAUUUCUCGAUACUUCCUUCUGUCAGUCCUAGCAAUCAUGAGACGUAUGAAAGAGCCCAUCUGUCCUGAGCUCGUGAUGGCCUCAAUUCUGGGCAAGUAGUCCUCUUGGAUGAAAAGUAUCAUCUUCCAGAACUGGACCUG
rnacentral:lncRNA from 1 species